UAAAAGGUCUUAUUUAAGACCAAAUAUAUGCAUACAAAAUUUGG
rfam:Orchesella cincta Ocin01_Sc0851, whole genome shotgun sequence.